CACCGCGGUUAAACGAGAGGCCCUAGUUAAUGAUAUUACGGCGUAAAGGGUGGUUAAGGAAAACAAAUUAAAUAAAGCCAAAUGGCCCUUUGGCCGUCAUACGCUUCUAGGUGUCCGAAGCCCAACUACACGAAAGUGGCUUUAACAAAAUUAACCUGACCCCACGAGAGCUGAGAAA
rnacentral:rRNA from 2 species